rnacentral:rRNA from 1 species
UCCGGUUGAUCCUGCCGGAGGCUACUGCUAUCGGGGUCCGACUAAGCCAUGCGAGUUGAGAGGGGUAAGCCCUCGGCAUAUUGCUCAGUAACACGCGGAUAACCUGCCCUUGGGUUCGGGAUAACCCCGGGAAACUGGGACUAAUACCGGAUAGAUCAAAGAAACUGGAAUGUUCUCUGGUCUAAAACUCUGGUGCCCAAGGAUGGGUCUGCGGCCUAUCAGGUAGUAGUGGGUGUAACGUACCUACUAGCCUACGACGGGUAAGGGUUGUGAGAGCAAGAGCCCUGAGAUGGAUUCUGAGACAUGAAUCCAGGCCCUACGGGGUGCAGCAGGCGCGAAAACUUUACACUGCGGGAAACCGCGAUAAGGGGACCCCGAGUGCCAGCACCUAGUGCUGGCUGUCCAGCUGUCCAAAUAACAGUUGUUAGCAAGGGCCGGGCAAGACCGGUGCCAGCCGCCGCGGUAACACCGGCGGCCCGAGUGGUAGCCGUUAUUAUUGGGUUUAAAGGGUCCGUAGCCGGCCUAUUAAGUCUCUUGGGAAAUCUGGCGACUCAAUCGUCAGGCGUCCAAGAGAUACUGGUAGGCUUGGGACCGGGAGAGGUGGGAGGUACUCCAGGGGUAGGGGUGAAAUCUCGUAAUCCUUGGGGGACCACCGAUGGCGAAGGCAUCCCACCAGAACGGGUCCGACGGUGAGGGACGAAAGCUGGGGGCACGAACCGGAUUAGAUACCCGGGUAGUCCCAGCCGUAAACGAUGCUCGCUAGGUGUCAGGUGCGGUGCGACCGCAUCUGGUGCCGCAGUGAAAACUUGAAGCGAGUCACCUGGGAAGUACGGUCGCAAGGCUGAAACUUAAAGGAAU